CGACCAAACCCUCCAUGUUCCCUUAGCUCCGGUUUCUGUUUUUCCGGCAACCGGCGUUAGACAUCCUAACCAUUUCCGACUGUUUAAGGUCACCACAGUCUCGAUCUACCAUUGCAUAUGCUUUUCUCAACCCAUUUGUUGCGGCUAGGGUUUCAAGCAGCGAUGGAGCAGUUGUACUGUUAGCACGGUGGUUUCAAGUGUGUUUUGGCAUUUGCAGUGGAUUCCGGCAGAACCGUCAAGAGAUCCUCGGAUAUGUGUUAGUCAGUGGCCGGCAUGAUCUUUUAUUCUGGUCGUCAACAACUCAAUGGCAAAGGACAUCAUUGUAAUUUUAU
rnacentral:lncRNA from 1 species